rnacentral:lncRNA from 1 species
GCGGCGACACUGAGUCAACUACUUGUUCACUAUUUUUAGUUAUUGAAGAUUUGGAUGAGAAUUUACCGAAGAGCUUGACCGUUGCAGAUCCAGAAUUCUUGGAUUCAAUUUUUUGUUUAAUUGCAUUUAAUUGGAUAUCUGGAUUUAAUUCAAUACAUUCAUAAAUCAUCAGUUUUUGUAAGCUGGGGCGGAUUCUGGUGUUUUGCUAUAGUUGUAUAAAAUGUUAUAUAUUUAUGGUAUAAAUAUAAAAUGUGAAAGAAAUAAUCAAAUUAGAUAAAGUGUCAAAGUGGUGGAAAAUGUGACAUUUGUGUGGGACGUCAGGGGUUCGAGUCACUCCCCACGCAGAUAUUAAAAUGUCUUGAUUGGGGCUUUGGAGCCUUGGUCUUCCUUGACUAAAAUAAAUAAAAUUUUUUCCUUUAUUAUUUAAUGGGUAAAACUAGCCAGUAUUUAUAGACUGUUUGUUUUUGUAACAACCCACAAAUAGCUAUUAGAACACCCACUACUCAGUCAUUAAAAUUCUUCAUUAACAUGGUGAAGACUGUUACUUCCAUCUUGCCUAUAUAAACCCAUAUCUCGUUUUGGGAAAAAUUCACACAAAAAGAAAAUAGAAAAAUCAUCUUGCAUCAAUCCUCCUUUUCAUAUUCUGAAUUUCUUAUAUUCGGGAUUUUACAUUUAUUCUGGAGUACAAUUGAAAGUUCUAGAAAAAUCAUUCGUGAUUGCUGCACAAGUGGUUUACGAUCGUUGUAUCCUGUGAGUGAUUGUCCACGGAGGUCGCAGCAAUUAUUGACAGGCAAUUUCACUUUAGGACAUCGUGCUGUCACGAGACUCGAUCGGUCGAUAAGUUUUAUAUUUCUGCAUUAUAUUGUUCUGAUCACUACUGCAACUAAUUAUCUUUUCCAACAAUCUAAAGUGAAAAUAUCUUUAUAAUUAGUUGCCAUGUCUGUCGUAGAUAUAUCUGUUCCUAAGUAUUCUGAAAAGCCUGAGUUGUUUGAUGGAAAGAAUUUUAAGAGAUGGCAAAUGAAACUGUGAUUUUAUUUGACAACACUUAAAGUCGUUGAUGCUAUUGAAUCAGAUAAACCAGGUUUUGCAAUUGCUGAUAAUCCUACUGAUAAAGAAACUGAGGAUUUAGCUAAUUGGGAACAUAAGAAUUAUAUGUGCAGGAAUUAUAUUCUAAAUUGUUUGACUUUAGACUGUAUGAUGUUUACUACUCGUGUAAAUCUGCAAAAGAGUUAUGGAAUUCAUUAGAAAAGAAAUAUGCUACAGAAGAUGCUGGAACCAAGAAAUUCGUUGUGGGAAAUUUUUAGAUUUUAAAAUGAAUGAUGUUAGAACUGUGGUUAGUCAGGUUGAAGAAUUGCAGAUUAUAAUUCACAAAAUUAUUGCUGAAGGAUAUAAAAUCUGUGAGGGCUUUCAAGUGUCAGCUAUAAUUGAAAAAUUGCCACCUUCUUGCAAAGAGUAUAAAAAUAGUUUGAAGCAUAAGAGAAAAGAAAUGUCCUUAGAGGAUCUGAUUAUCAGGAUUAGAAUCGAGGAGGACAAUAGAAUGGCAGAACGUAAAGAAAGGCCAGACUUUGAUACCAAGGCUAUUCUUAUUGAAGGAAGUUCUGGGACUAAGAAACCAAUUGGAAAUUUUACAAGGGGUUAGAAUUUUAAAGGCAGAAACAAGGGAAAAUAAUUUGUAGGAAAGAACAAUCGAUCUAAGCCCAAGUUUAAAAAUAAAAUUGUUGGUGACUGUUUUGUUUGUGCUAAACCAAGUCACCUUGCAACUACCAAGCAUAUUUACUGCACGAGAGGUGCAUUUUCUUCAUUCACUCCUACUAGUGAUGGAGAAUGUCUGUUCAUGGGCAAUGCUUCCUCCUCCAAAAUCAAGAGGAAAGGAACUGUGACGCUUAGAUUUACUUCUGGAAAUAUCCUUAAUUUGAAGGAUGUCCUCUAUGUACUUGAUAUUAGGAAAAAUCUAGUAUCUGGAUCUAUCUUAGUAAAAAAGGGUUUUAAGAUUGUAUUUGAAAGUGGUCAAGUUGUACUGUCUAAGGGUGGUUCCUUUGUUGGGAAAGGGUAUGCAGAUGAGGGUCUGUUUAAAUUCAAUGUCUCUGUGAUCAACAAUAAAGCAUCUAGCUCUUCCGUUUACUUGUUGGAUUCUUAUGAUUUGUGGCAUGCUAGACUUGGACACGUUAAUAAAACUUCUAUUAAAAAAAUUAAUGACUUUGGGAAACAUUCCCAAAAUCGAUAAUUGUCCAAAUUCAAAAUGUGAAACGUGUGUUGAAUCUAAAUAUUCUAAAAAACCAUUUCCUCGUGUUGAUAGGACUACUUCGGUCUUAAGUUUGAUACAUUCUGAUUUAUGUGACUUAAAAGGAUAUGUUACUCAUGGUGGAAAUAAAUAUUUCUUAACUUUCAUUGAUGAUUAUUCUCGAUAUUGUUAUAUUUAUCUGCUUAAGAGCAAGGAUGAAAGCUAUUCAAAAUUUAUUUCCUAUAAAAUUGAAGUAGACAAUCAGCUAGACAAAACUAUUAAAGUUUUAAGAUCUGAUAGGGGAGGAGAAUAUACAGGAGAUUUUGAUAAAUUUUGUGUUGAGAAUUGUAUUAUUCAUUAGACUACUCUACCUUAUUCUCUCCAAUCUAAUGGUGUAGAUGAAAGAAAAAAUUGAACCCUUAAGGAUAUGGUUAUAUCAAUGCUAAGCUCUUCUGGAUUACCUUUUAACAUGUGGGGGGAAGCACUUCUUACUGCAUGUUAUAUUCUUAAUAGAAUUCCUAGUAAGAAAAAUAACAAGUCUCCUUAUGAAAUGUGGAAGGGCAGAACACCUUCAUAUAAAUAUCUUAAAGUGUGGGGGUGUUUAGUUAAAGCUUCUAUUCCAACACCUAAGAGAACUAAACUUGGUCUGAAAACUGUUGAUUGUGUUUUUAUAGGGUAUGCUUUUCAUAGUAAUGCUUACAGAUUUUUAGUUAUUGACUCUAAAAAUAAUUUGAUUGAAAAGAACACAAUAUUUGAAACUAAAGAUGCUGAAUUUUUUGAAAAUAGAUUUCUGUUUAAAGAAAAGUCUGAAGGAUCAAGCAGUUCUUUUAGUAUUCCUCCUAGUGUUAGAGAGGAGCCAUCUGAAUUAGAAGAAGCUGAAAUUAGGAGAAGCAAAAGACCUAGGACCACUGCUUCUUUUGUUCCUGACUUUAUAACCUACUUAGUAGAGGAUGAUCCUAGUACUUUUGGUGAAGCUAUGUUUUCACCAGAUUCUAUAUUUUGGAAGGAAGCUGUAAAUAGUGAAUAUAAUUCAAUUAUGUCUAAUAAUACUUAGGAGAUGGUGUAAUUACCUCAAGGAUGUAAGACAAUUGGGUGUAGAUGGUUGUUUAAGAAAAAUCUUAAACCUGAUGGUUCAAUUGAUAAGUAUAAAGCAAGACUUGUAGCUAAAGGCUAUAAACAAAAAGAAGAAGUUGACUUCUUUGAUACUUAUUCACCCGUUACUAGGAUUACCUCUAUUAGGAUGUUAAUUGCAAUUGCCUCACUGUAUGAUCUUAUUAUACAUCAAAUGGAUGUCAAGACUGCAUUUUUAAAUGGAGACGUAGAAGAGGAGAUUUAUAUGGAUCAGCCUGAAGGAUUUGUUGUAGAAGGUCUUGAGGAUAAAGUAUGUAGACUUAAAAAAACUCUUUAUGGCCUUAAACAAGCUCCUAAGCAAUGACACGAAAAAUUUGAUACAGUAUUGACAUCAAGUGGUUAUGUGAUAAAUGAAGCAGAUAAAUGCAUAUAUAGCAAAUUUGAAAAUAAUUGUGGUGUGAUAAUUUGCUUAUAUGUUGAUGAUAUGCUGAUUAUGGGAACUAGUUUAGAUGUGGUUAAUAAAAUUAAGCAGUUUCUGAACAAGCACUUUGAAAUGAAAGAUUUGGGUGUUGUUGAUGUUAUUCUAGGAAUCAAAAUAGUAAAACAUUCUGAAGGAAUUAUUUUGACCCAAUCACAUUAUGUAGAAAAGGUGCUUAAAAAGUUUAGUCAAUACAACUGUAUUUUUGCUAAAACACCUUAUGAUGCAAGCCGUCAUCUGAGAAAACAUUCAGGUCCUAGUGUUUCCGCUUUAGAGUAUGCCAAAGUAAUCAGCAGUCUCAUGUACCGAAUUCCCUGCUAUACUUGAGGGAUAUUGUGAUGCUAAUUAGAUUUCCGAUACCAAUGAAAGUAAAUCUACAAGUGGAUAUGUAUUUACAUUAGCAGGUGGAGCUGUCUCCUGGAAAUCCACUAAGCAAACCUGCAUUGCUAGAUCUACUAUGGAAUCUGAGUUCAUAGCUUUAGAUAAGAAAGGUGAGGAGGCUGAAUGGUUAAGGAAUUUUCUUAUGGAUGUUCCUUUGUGGUCUAAACCAUUUCCAACUAUUUCAAUACAUUGUGACAGUCAAGCAGCUAUCUCAAGAGCUCAAAAUUCAUCCUACAAUGGAAAGUCUAGACAUAUUCGUAGGAGAUACAAUACUGUGCGUCAGCUGCUUAAGGAUGGGAUUAUAGCUAUUGACUAUGUGAAGUCAAGUGAUAACAUUGCUGACCCAUUAACCAAAGGAUUGGCUAGAGAGCUAAUUCAACAAAUAUCGAUGGGGAUGGGGCUAAAGCCUAUUAUUUAUUAGAUCACCUAUAAUGGAAACCCAACCUUGCAAUUGGAGAUCCCAUGGUCAAGGUUCAAUGGGACAACAAAGUUAUUGGAGUGGUCUGUGGGGGUACUACAUUGGAUUUAUUCCAAACCCCUCCCUAUGAUGCGUAGUACUAACUGUAUUGAUUAGAGGAUGAGUUAAUGCUCUUAAUGCUUACUAAAGCUGAUAUUCAGUGGGGUGUCUAAAUACAGUACACCCUUGAUUGUAGCACCUAUUUGAGUAUGGAAGUGGAGCCGCUUCCUAUGAGAAUUGAGGCGAAUUCUCUAGAGCACUCAAAGAAACUAGGAAAGUUCACGGCCGAAAUGAACACAACCGUGAGAACUCAAUGACUGUUCUAGAAAUCAUGUGUGUGUUCUAUUGUCUCAGUUUGAAACUAUAAUUGUAGAGUUCAAGACAUAAUUCACUCUACAGUUAGUAAGCUCGAUAGAAUAUACAAAGCCAAGGUUCAAGUCGAUAGAUACCUAUGCCUGCAUGAUUUCUACCGUACUCCAGAGUAAUAUUUUCAUUUUUCUAUUUCUUUCAUGUGGGGGAUUAUUAUAUAUUUAUGGUAUAAAUAUAAAAUGUGAAAGAAAUAAUCAAAUUAGAUAAAGUGUCAAAGUGGUGAGAAAUGUGACAUUUGUGUGGGACGUCAGGGGUUCGAGUCACUCCCCACGCAGAUAUUAAAAUGUCUUGAUUUGGGCUCUUGGGCUUCCUUGACUAAAAUAAAUGAUUUUUUUCCUUUAUUAUUUAAUGGGUAAAACUAGCCAAUAUUUUCUGACUGUUUGUUUUUGUAACAACCCACAAACAGCCAUUAAAACACCCACUACUCAGUCAUUAAAAUUCUUCAUUAACAUGGUGAAGACUGUUACUUCCAUCUUGCCUAUAUAAACCCAUAUCUUGUUUUGGGAAAAAUUCACACAAAAAGAAAAUAGAAAAAUCAUCUUGCAUCAAUCCUCCUUUUCAUAUUCUGAAUUUCUUAUAUUCGGGUUUUUACAUUUAUUCUGGAGUACAAUUGAGAGUUCUAGAAAAAUCAUUUGUGAUUGCUGCACAAGUGGUUUACAAUCGUUGUAUCCUAGGAGUGAUUGUCCAUGGAGGUCGUAGCAAUUAUUGACGGACAAUUUCACUUUAGGAUAUCUUGCUAUCACGAUACUCGAUCGGACAAUAAGUUUUAUAUUUCUGCAUUAUAUUGUUCUGAUCACUACUGAAACUAAUUAUUUUUUCCAACAUAAAAUUGGAGCUGAAUUCUUGGAUUCAAUUUUUUUUUAAUUGCAUUUAAUUAGAUUUCUGGAUUUAAUUGAAUACAUUCAUAAAUCAUCAGUUUUUGUAAGUUGGGGUGGAUUCUGGUGUUUU